GUGUCAGCCGCCGCGGUAAUACGGAGGAUGCAAGCGUUAUCCGGAAUGAUUGGGCGUAAAGCGUCCGCAGGUGGCGAUGUAAGUCUGCUGUUAAAGAGCAAAGCUCAACUUUGUAAAAGCAGUGGAAACUACAUAGCUAGAGUGCGGUAGGGGCAGAGGGAAUUCCUGGUGUAGCGGUGAAAUGCGUAGAGAUCAGGAAGAACACCGGUGGCGAAAGCGCUCUGCUAGGCCGCAACUGACACUGAGGGACGAAAGCUAGGGGAGCGAAUGGGAUUAGAUACCCCAGUAGUCCUAGCCGUAAACGAUGGAUACUAGGCGUGGCUUGUAUCGACCCGAGCCGUGCCGUAGCUAACGCGUUAAGUAUCCCGCCUGGGGAGUACGCACGCAAGUGUGAA
rnacentral:rRNA from 1 species